rnacentral:rRNA from 1 species
AGCGUAGGUUGUUUUUUAAGUUAAAUGUGAAAGCCCGGGGCUUAACUCCGGAAUGCCAUUUAAUACUGGAAGACUAGAGUGCAGGAGGGGUGAGCGGAAUUCCUAGUGUAGCGGUGGAAUGCGUAGAUAUUAGGAAGAACACCAGAGGCGAAGGCGGCUCACUGGACUGUUACUGACACUGAGGCUCGAAAGCGUGGGGAGCAAACA